rnacentral:rRNA from 1 species
UACGAAGGGGGCUAGCGUUGCUCGGAAUUACUGGGCGUAAAGCGCACGUAGGCGGCUUCUUAAGUCAGGGGUGAAAUCCUGGAGCUCAACUCCAGAACUGCCUUUGAUACUGAGGAUCUUGAGUUCGGGAGAGGUGAGUGGAACUGCGAGUGUAGAGGUGAAAUUCGUAGAUAUUCGCAAGAACACCAGUGGCGAAGGCGGCUCACUGGCCCGAUACUGACGCUGAGGCACGAAAGCAUGGGGAGCGAACAGG